UUCACUGAUGUCCUUAUGUUGUGUAAUGGCUAAUAAAUAGAGAACCUGGGCACAGACUUAAUAAACAAGGCUCCAAGCCACUCUGUUCCUGGGAAUUAGGGGUGAAUCUCUAGAAGAAAACUGCUAAGAAAGAAAAGAGGGUUUUUUGGGGGGGCAACCAGAUUCAACCCGCAGGGCAUUCUUAUGCAAUCCCGGAAGCAGAAGGACUUUUUUUUUAAUACACGUUCAAUCCGUCAAUGAGGUGAAGUGGCACGGGUCCAGAGUGUCUGACCAGAGAGCUACACUGUACCCACAGUGCUUGGCAGCUGGUAGAAGGGGUGGUUGACCUGGAGGGACUGAGGAGAGAGGCAGUUUGGGGACGGGGUAGUGUCACUGGAACCUGGGUGUGGGCUCAUGGACAGGGCUGCCAUUUGUGACCCUAAGGGGCUCCUGGAAUCCAUUCCUAGGGGCUGUGUUGCUUGUCUCUCCCUUCCUGAAAAGGGUCCCUCCAGCCUUCCUGCGACUUGACAGAAGCUGAGCCAGACCCCUGACUGGGCAGCCACCUGGUUUCACAGUUUUGCUGCAGAACCAAACAGGCCUGCCGAGAGGACUCAGCUGCCACGGAAGACGCCCUAGACAGCCAUGAAAUGACCUUCUAUGUUUUGCAAUCGUUGGAGACCACCUCCCACUGGAGUCUGGGCCUUCUCUACAGUUCAACACUGGCAAGCACGGGAGGGCUAACCCAAUUGGAGGCACUGUUAGGACUGAAAAUACCCAGCAAGCUCCCAGUGGCAUACACCCUUAGGCUGGCAUCUUUUGGAGCACUGGACUCAGAACAGUGACAUUCUUCCUCCUCCCUUCCCAUCUAAACCACAGAAAAGGAGCAGGCCCACCGGACAGCAUUUCAGACACAGUAUGUGGCUAGCUCAGGGCAGGCAGGGAAAUGGCUCUGGAGAAGUAGAGUGCUUGGUAGGUAGUAGGUGUUCAGUAAAGACUUCUGGGAUUAAUCCAUGGUUGUCACCACCAUAAAGGAUAAGAUCCAGGAGCCGUGCCACCAUCCACCGAGGAGAAACACUUUUCCAUUAGAGGUUUUCAGACUCUAAGAGGAAGCAUCAGCAAAUAAGUAGACCUGGUCCUCGUGUGGUGCCUUGAGUAGCAGUACAGUCCCUCACAGAUCUCCGGAGCCCGGGAUCAGGCUCCUGGCAUGGCUGGGAGCUGGGGUCAUCUCAGAGUUAACUUCAGAACUGUCCCUCCCCCAAGGAGUGUACACCCUCUGGGAGGAAGGCCAGCUACCCUCAGGGACAAACUUGCUGCCCAGGCCAGAGAGAGCUGGGCUGUACCACACUGCUCUUUUCUAAUCCAGGAGCUGCACUGGCAGAGCUUGGACCUCAGCUGCACCUAGAAGCCGGUCUCAGGUGACGCCCCUGUGCUGGGCAAUAGGGCUGUUUGUCACUCCUCUGAUAUGGGACAGUCCCCAGGAGCUUUCACAUUCUACUGUAUCAUGUCCCCUUUCCGUUAUUUUCUGAGAUGAAGCCCUAGGGUCCAUCUCAACGCUCGAAACUGAAGCCCAGGUUGCCUCUGCUCUUUGGAACCAGGAGGACCACUUCAUGCGCUAAGUCAGUAUGGUUUCACCUCGGAAUUUGGCCUCGUAAAAUCUGCUCCCUUAAAAAGGGACUCAUCUACCUUCCCCUUGUGCUGUUUUAACCGAACUCCCAAGAAUAUCGCUGUGACUGCAUUUGCAAGACCACCCAGUGGCAGGGGUGUGACGUCACUCUCUGACAUAGAACCGGAACUCACUUGAAAACUGGGAACUCAACGAGGUAGACUUUCACAGUGUUUGCGCUCCACCCACAACCCUAAGGGCUGGAGACCUAACUCCAGAUAAAGACAAGCGCUCUGCCACCAAAGUCACACACCCAGCUCUGGUAAGUAAACUGUUGAAACCUCAUAUCCCUCUCAAGAGAAAUGUUUUGGAGCACACAUCGUCAGCAGACGCACAUUUGCUUAUUAUUUACGCACCACACACAAGUAUUAUUGUGCCAAUACAUUAUGGGCAUCACAAAAACACAUGGUGAAAACAGAAGUUUUUAAAGAAGUUUUCUGGCGCCUUCUUCUUCUUGAAGCUCUUCUCGAGCUCCGCAGAGAUGCAAGGACCCCAUGUUGAAAUGUACAGGACUAGGGCUUACAGUAAGGUCGGCAAGCCAGUGUCCUGGAGGCCCGGGGGUGCUCACAGGAUGCCCACCUAGUCUGGCAUCCUUCACCGUCUAGGUUCCUCAGUAUUGAGUGCUGUGGUCCCAAGGUUGAGCUCCAGAAUUAGAGCUGAUGCGCACGGCCGUGUUAGAGAGGGCAGCAGAGAACAGUUUGGGUGUGAUCCCAAAUGUCUCACGGGUGUGGCUGACCCAGGGCUAGUCACUGAGUACCCCUG
rnacentral:sRNA from 1 species